CUAGAAAGAUUAACUAUGUUACUAUUUCAUCUAUCAUUAUUAUACAAAGUAUAACAAAUGUAAAGAUUUUUCCACAGAUUUGACCUGUUAACAUUUUUAGCACAACAGCACCUGAUGUCAGUGAGAUGUCUAUCACUGAGAUGUUACAAAGAUUCCAAUACAGCAAAAAGAGGCGUUCCUGAGAAUCCACUUCGAUUGCUGUAUCAACAUAACAUUUACUAUAAUGGGAUCCAUGUCACUUAAGACAAUGUCUUGGAAAUGCUGUCAAUUAAUUGAUUCCGUAAAAGAAUAUCGUAGAGUAUCCAAUCUAUACACAUCAUAAACGGUGUAAAAAUGUUUCAUGGAAAAAACAAAGCAAACAAGCAAAGACAAAGACCAAUACCAACACCAUCACCACGGUGAUAACAGAUGAUGCUGAUUCAAUAUCUGCGACCAAUUCUAGCCAAAUAUUUGGAUAGCUGGACUCUACAACCAAUACUCUACAACAAAUACCCAGGUAUUCUACAAACACAACCUCCAGCAAUGUAUCUAAGGAAUGUAAACCUCUACAGGUCUUUAAAGACUUUGGAUUACAAAUACAAUUACUAUUUUUAACUUUGGAUUACAAUUCGUAUCCGGAUCUAUCCAAGAAUAUAUUACUCUGGAACUUGGUGUUCUUUUCAAUUCUUUCCCAGACAAAAGCUUUGCUCAUUUUAAUCAACCACCUUUACAG